GAUUUCUGGUUAGAUCACUCUGGCCCGCACCUUUCCGGGUGUGUGUGCUGGAGCGUUCUUUCCAUCCUUCUAGAGUGUCGUGCCUACUCUUUACUGAGCGGGGUACGCGUUCUAGAUCGUUUACUUUGAAAAAAUUAGAGUGUUUAAAGCAGGCUUACGCUGUGAAUACAUUAGCAUGGAAUAAUGAUAUAGGACUUUGGUUCUAUUUUGUUGGUUUCUUGAGCUGAAGUAAUGAUUGAUAGGGAUAGUUGGGGGUGCUCGUAUUCCACGGCCAGAGGUGAAAUUCUUGGAUUCGUGGAAGACGAACUACUGCGAAAGCAUU
rnacentral:rRNA from 1 species